rnacentral:misc_RNA from 1 species
GAUGAAGAACGUAGCGAAAUGCGAUAAGUAAUGUGAAUUGCAGAAUUCAGUGAAUCAUCGAAUCUUUGAACGCACAUUGCGCCCUCUGGUAUUCCGGGGGGCAUGCCUGUUCGAGCGUCAUUAUAACCACUCAAGCUCUCGCUUGGUAUUGGGGUUCGCGGUUCCGCGGCCCCUAAAAUCAGUGGCGGUGCCUGUCGGCUCUACGCGUAGUAAUACUCCUCGCGAUCGAGUCCGGUAGGUCUACUUGCCAGCAACCCCCAAUUUUUACAGGUUGACCUCGGAUCAGGUAGGGAUACCCGCUGAACUUAAGCAUAUCAAUAAGCGGAGGA